UGGGGAAUCUUGGACAAUGGGGGAAACCCUGAUCCAGCCAUGCCGCGUGAGUGAUGAAGGCCCUAGGGUUGUAAAGCUCUUUCGCCAGGGAAGAUAAUGACGGUACCUGGAUAAGAAGCCCCGGCUAACUCCGUGCCAGCAGCCGCGGUAAUACGGAGGGGGCUAGCGUUGUUCGGAAUUACUGGGCGUAAAGCGCACGUAGGCGGCUAUCCAAGUUGGGGGUGAAAUCCCUGGGCUUAACCCAGGAACU
rnacentral:rRNA from 1 species